UGGUGGAGUGAUUUGUCUGGUUAAUUCCGUUAACGAACGAGACCUCGACCUGCUAAAUAGUUCGCUGUACCCCUCGGGGUACAGGCGCGACUUCUUAGAGGGACUAUCGGUUCUUAGCCGAUGGAAGUUCGAGGCAAUAACA
rnacentral:rRNA from 1 species